rnacentral:rRNA from 1 species
CAGUAGCCGCGGUAAUACAGAGGGUGCAAGCGUUAAUCGGAUUUACUGGGCGUAAAGGGCGCGUAGGUGGUUAUUUAAGUGAGAUGUGAAAGCCCCGGGCUUAACCUGGGAACUGCAUCUUAUACUGGGUAACUGGAGUGCAGUAGAGGGUAGUGGAAUUUCCGGUGUAGCGGUGAAAUGCGUAGAUAUCGGAAGGAACACCAGUGGCGAAGGCGGCUACCUGGACUGAGACUGACACUGAGGCGCGAGAGCGUGGGGAGCAAACAGGAUUAGAUACCCCUGUAGUCCCUGUCUCUUAUAA